rnacentral:rRNA from 1 species
GUAUGAACGGCAAAACCUCUUCCAACUGUCUCCCCUCCCAUCCUUUUAAAUUUCCUCCUGUGUGAAGAAGCACAGAUAUAUCAGAAAGACGAGAAGACCCUGUCGAGCUUUAACCACUAAGUGGGCCUUACCCUUUUCAGGCACCACCUAAAGGUUUUGGUUGGGGCAACCAUGGAGAAAAAAGAUCCUCCAGAACAAAUAGAAGAAAGCUUUUCACUAUUUUACGACUGAUAACCAGGAACUGGUAUUCGGAAAAAGUUACCGCAGGGAUAACAGCGUCAUCUCCUCUAAGAGUCCUUAUUGACGAGGAGGUUUGCGACCUCGAUGUUGGAUUGGGGCCCCCUUAGGGUGCAGAAGCUCUAAACGGUUAGACUGUUCGUCUAUUAAAGCCCUACAUGAUCUGA